rnacentral:rRNA from 1 species
GUGGGGAAUUUUGGACAAUGGGGGCAACCCUGAUCCAGCCAUGCCGCGUGCGGGAAGAAGGCCUUCGGGUUGUAAACCGCUUUUGUCAGGGAAGAAAUCCUUUGGGUUAAUACCUCGGAGGGAUGACGGUACCUGAAGAAUAAGCACCGGCUAACUACGUGCCAGCAGCCGCGGUAAUACGUAGGGUGCGAGCGUUAAUCGGAAUUACUGGGCGUAAAGCGUGCGCAGGCGGUUUUGUAAGAUCGAUGUGAAAUCCCCGGGCUCAACCUGGGAACUGCAUUGGUGACUGCAAGGCUGGAGUGCGGCAGAGGGGGAUGGAAUUCCGCGUGUAGCAGUGAAAUGCGUAGAUAUGCGGAGGAACACCGAUGGCGAAGGCAAUCCCCUGGGCCUGUACUGACGCUCAUGCACGAAAGCGUGGGGAGCAAACAGGAUUAGAUACCCUUGUAGUCC